rnacentral:lncRNA from 1 species
GUCCCAGAGAUGUGCACAGACAAGGAAGACAUGGAAGAUGACGACUAUAUUAUUCCUGUCUCAUCACUCGAGAGCCCAGCACAAGUCAAAGUUCCAGCAAAGUAUGCAGAUGAAGAUUACGUUAUACCACAGGAGGUUCCGCAAGUGAAAGAAGAGGAUGACGGGAUCUACAACAAUGUCGAUUGCAAUAUAUAUGCAAAUAACUGAAAUACACUUUGAUAUACUGUUAAGAGCUUCAGGUUAGAUAUAGUUAUAUAUGCAUAAGCUUAUGAACUUUUUUCACCAGUCUUAAAGAUAAAUUCUG